rnacentral:tRNA from 1 species
AGGAUUAUAGUUAUUAAUAACAUCUAAUUUGCAUUUAGAAGGUGCUAAUAUAGUUUAGCUUAUCUUA